ACCUGACUGGCUCAGUUGGUAGAGUGUGUGACUCUUGAUCUCAGGGUCAUGAGUUUGAGCCCCACGAUGGGUA
rnacentral:tRNA from 1 species